CGCUUAGAAUAUUCAUAUACCUAUUUUUUUCAAUGUUGUAUUUAAGUUUUAAUAUGGGGACAAGUGACACUGUGAUCAUGCAAGCAGUUAGUUUGUUAGACUGCUUAUGAUUCUGGAUUGGUACUCCACCAGAAAUUAUCAGGUUAGAUGAAGGAAGAUACUGCUUUUUCGAGGGCUUUGUGCAUAAAGCAACCAUGUUUGUCAAAAAGCAGUAUCUUCCUUCAUCUAACCUG
rnacentral:misc_RNA from 1 species